ACACCUCAACUCCCAUGGUUCGCCAUGGUGAGCUUGGACUUUGGGGGUUUUGCUGGCCCACGGUCGGCUCCUCUCAAAUGAAUUAGCCUGCCAGUGUUUGGUGGCAUCACGGGUGUGAUAAAUAUCUACGCUUGCGAUUGUCCACCAGGUAACCUUCAGCAAUGGGGGUUCGCUGGGGCUCACAGAUGUCUCUCCCUCAGCGAGGACAGUUUUUUAAC
rnacentral:misc_RNA from 1 species